rnacentral:rRNA from 1 species
GACGAACGCUGGCGGCGUGCUUAACACAUGCAAGUCGAGCGGUAAGGCCCUUUCGGGGUACGACGAGCGGCGAACGGGUGAGUAACACGUGGGUGACCUCGCCCUCCAGCUCUGGGAGUAAGCCUGGGAAACGUGGGUCGUAAUACUGGAUAUGACUCCACGGUGCAUGUCGUGGGGUGGAAAGCCUUGUGCGGCUGAGGAUGGGCCCGCGGCCUAUCAGCUUGUUGGUGGGGU